rnacentral:rRNA from 1 species
GACUACAGGGGUAUCUAAGCCCGUUCGCUCCCCACGCUUUCGUGUCUCAGCGUCAGGACAGGCCCAGUGCAACGUCUUCACCACCGGCGUUCCUCUUGAUAUCUACGCAUUCCACCGCUCCACCAAGAGUUCCUCGCACCCCUACCUGCCUCAAGAAACGCAGUUCAUCAAGCAAUGCCUCGGUUAAGCCGAGGGAUUUCACAAAAUGCUUACGUUUCCGCCUACACACGCUUUAAGCCCAGUGAUUCCGAACAACGCUAGCCACCUCUGUCUUACCGCGGCUGCUGGCACAGAGUUAGCCGUGACUUCCUCUGGGUUAGAUCAAUCCACCGAAGUGGACUUUCACGUCCCUGACAGCGGUUUACAUCCCGAAGGACUUCCUCCCGCACGCGGCGUCGCUGGGUCAGGCUUUCGCCCAUUGCCCAAUAUCCGUUACUGCAGCCCCCCGUAGG